rnacentral:rRNA from 1 species
GACGAACGCUGGCGGCAUGCUUAACACAUGCAAGUCGAACGGUGAAGCGCCAGCUUGCUGGCGUGGAUCCGUGGCGCACGUGUGAGUAACCCGUGAGCAACCUGCCCCUGACUCGGGAAUGAGCGCUAGAACCCGCGGCUAAUACUGGAUACGAGAGGGGUCGGCAUGGGCACUUUCUGGGACGUUUUUCGGUUGGGGUUGGGCUCGCGGCCUAUAAGCUGGUUGGUGAGGUAAUGGCUCACCAAGGCGACGACGGGUAGCCGGCCUGAGAGGGCGACCGGCCACACUGGUACUGAGACACGGCGCAGACGCCUACGGGAGGCAGCAGUGGGGAAUAUUGCACAAUGGGCGAAAGCCUGAUGCAGCGGCGCCGCGUGAGGGAUGACGGCCUUCGGGUUGUAAACCUCUUUCAGCAGGGAAGAAGCGAAAGUGACGGUACCUGCAGAAGAAGCACCGGCUAACUACGUG